AUUGAACGCUGGCGGCAUGCUUUACACAUGCAAGUCGAACGGUAACAGGCCUUCGGGUGCUGACGAGUGGCGAACGGGUGCGUAAUGCAUCGGAACGUACCCAGAGGUUGGGGAUAACGCAGCGCAAGCUGUGCUAAUACCGCAUGUGAUCUGAGGUUGAAAGCGGGGGACCGAGCAGCAAUGUUUGGCCUCGCGCCUUUGUAGCUGCCGAUGUCGGAUUAGCUAGUUGGUGGGGUAAAGGCCUACCAAGGCGACGAUCCGUAGCUGGUCUGAGAGGACGACCGGCCACACUGGGACUGAGACACGGCCCAGACUCCUACGGGAGGCAGCAGUGGGGAAUUUUGGACAAUGGGCGCAAGCCUGAUCCAGCAAUGCCGCGUGCGGGAAGAAGGCCUUCGGGUUGUAAACCGCUUUUGGCAGGAACGAAACGGUGUCCGCUAAUACCGGGCGGUAAUGACGGUACCUGCAGAAUAAGCACCGGCUAACUACGUG
rnacentral:rRNA from 1 species